rnacentral:tRNA from 1 species
UGUUUACCGAGGGUUCGAAUCCCUCUCUUUC